rnacentral:misc_RNA from 1 species
GAUGAAGAACGUAGCGAAAUGCGAUGCUUGGUGUGAAUUGCAGAAUCCCGUGAACCAUCGAGUCUUUGAACGCAAGUUGCGCCCGAAGCCACUAGGCCGAGGGCACGCCUGCCUGGGCGUCACACGCCGUUGCCCCCCCAUCUACUCCUUCGGGAUUGCGGGGGGGCGGAUGAUGGCCUCCUGUGCGCCUAGCCGCGCGGUUGGCAUAAAUACCAAGUCCUCGGCGACGCACGCCACGACAAUCGGUGGUUGCGAAACCUCGGUUGCCCGUCGUGUGCGUUCGUCGCGCAUCGAGGGCUCGAAAAAAUGCUCGGCUCCGGCUGGGCUUUCAACGCGACCCCAGGUCAGGCGGGGUUACCCGCUGAAUUUAAGCAUAUCAAUAAGCGGAGGA